GUGCUUCACCAGCACAUAUACCAAAAUUGAAAAGAUACAGAGAAGAUUAGCAGGCCCCUGUGUGAGAAUGACAUGCAAAUUUGUGAAGCAUUCAUUAUUUUU
ensembl:snRNA U6 U6 spliceosomal RNA